rnacentral:lncRNA from 10 species
AACAUUGGACCCUAAACAGAACCAAUGACAAACCUGUGAGCUCACAAGCACACUUCUGGAGAACCUGGCUACCAGAGAAGUGUUACUUCCAAGCUGUAAAAUCACUCAGCAAUGCUGCUUGCCUGACAGAGGAAUGGAAUGACUUGCUGAAGGAGUAGCAGAAACACUGACUUGGAGGUGAUGACUUGCAAGAGAGGAGAGUCAUCCUCCAAGAUGUCAGGUGCUGAAGUAUUUAUCUCAGGCCACUCUUAGCUGCCAGUCCUCCUUAUGAAUUACCUAAAGCUAAGAUAAUUUUUUCAUCCAAGGUCACACUCCCUUGCUGGGGAAGCCCACAUUCAAUUACUGGUCAGUGUGGGAGUAUAAAAGCUGGUUCUUUCCCUUCAAUUUGGUACAAUGUGAGGGGCCAUCUUUGCUUCAGCUCCUCAUAUAAGUUGGCUGAGACUUUCAUGGAGGUGAUGUUGUAGCCCAGUUGCUUUGUGUCCAAUCCUGC